UACGUAGGACCCCAAGCGUUGUCCGGAUUUACUGGGUGUAAAGGGUGCGCGGGCGGAUCUGUGCGUCGAGGGUUAAAUAUCCAGGCUCAACCUGGAAAAUGCCCUCGAUACGGCAGGUCUUGAGUACGAGAGAGGAUAGUAGAAUUCCUGGUGUAGCGGUGAAAUGCGUAGAUACCAGGAGGAAUACCAGUGGCGAAGGCGGCUAUCUGGCUCGUAACUGACGCUUAGGCACGAAAGCGUGGGGAGCAAACAGGAUUAG
rnacentral:rRNA from 1 species